AUAAACCAGUUACAGCAAUUGAUGGAUGCCUUGGCUUCAUCAGGCGAUGAAGGACGCAGCAAGCUGCGAUAAGCUUCGGGGAGCGGCACGCACGCUUUGAUCCGAAGAUUUCCGAAUGGGGAAACCCGGCACCGGUCAUUCGGUGUCGCGACGGUCUGAAUUCAUAGGAUCGUCCGCGCAAUACGCGGAGAAGUGAAACAUCUCAGUAUCCGCAGGAAAAGAACGAGAAUCGAUUCCGUGAGUAGUGGCGAGCGAAAGCGGAAAAGCCCAAACCGUCGGGAUUUAUCCUGGCGGGGUAGUAGGACCACGAUGUGAGACCGUGAAAAUUAGACGAACAAUCUGGAAAGUUUGACCAAAGCGGGUGACAGUCCCGUAGUUUAAAGUUCGAUCGGCUCUAGUGGUAUCCUGAGUAGCACCGUACACGUGAAAUCCGGUGUGAAUCCGUGCCGACCACGGCAUAAGGCUAAAUACUCGAUGAAGACCGACAGUGAACUAGUACCGCGAGGGAAAGGUGAAAAGCACCCCUGUUAGGGGAGUGAAAUAGUAACUGAAAUCAAUUGCUAACAAGUCAGUGGGAGCCGGCUUGUCCGGUGACCGCCUGCCUUUUGUAUAAUGAGUCUGCGAGUUAUUGCCCGUAGCAAGCCUAAGCCGGUUACCGGUGGAGGCGCAGCGAAAGCAAGUCCAAAUAGGGCGCUUAGUUGCUGGCAAUAGACCCGAAGCGGAGGUGAUCUAACCAUGGCCAGGAUGAAACCCGGGUAAAACCGGGUGGAGGUCCGAACUGGUCAACCUUGAGAAGUUGUCGGAUGAGCUGUGGUUAGGAGCGAAAGACUAAUCAAACCCUGUGAUAGCUGGUUCUUUCCGAAAUAUAUUUGGGUAUAGCGUCGGAUGCUGAUUCGCGGAGGUAGAGCACUAAAUAAGCUAGGGCCCCUACCGGGGUACUGAACUUAAUUAAACUCCGAAUACCGCGAAGUGAAGUCCGGCAGUCAGACUGUGGGGGAUAACCUUCAUAGUCGAGAGGAGAAUAAUCCAGACCACCAGUUAAGGUCCCAAAAUAUGGCUCAGUGAAAAAGGAUGUGAUUUUGCUUAGACAAUGGGGAUGUUGGCUUAGAGGCAGCCAUCAUUUAAACAGUGCGUAACAGCUGACCCAUCGAGCGAAAUUGCGCCGAAAAUGAUCGGGACUUAAGCCAUAUACCGAAGCUGUGGGUGCGUCGCAAGACGCGCAGUAGGAAAGCGUCCCAAGUGCAGCGAAGUGGAAGGGGUAACCGACCAUGGAGCGCUUGGGAGUGAGAAUGCAGACAUAAGUAACGAUAAAGCCGGUUGAAAUCCGGCUCGCCGAAAUCCCAAGGAUUCCUGGGGAAGGUUCGUCCGCCCAGGGUUAGUCGGGUGCUAAGAUGAGGCCGUAAGGAGUAGUCGAUGCCAAGCAGGUUUAAUAUUCCUGCACCACUUGGUAUGCGUUUGACCCAUGGAGUGACGGAGAAAGUUAAGGCGGCGACGUGUUGAAUCGUCGUCCAAGUUCGUAGGCUGUUCGGGGAUAAAAGACCGGAUAAAGCCGAAAAACGACGGGACCUUGAGGCCACGGCCGAUGGGGAUCGCCCAAUACUCUGCUUCCGAGAAAAGCUUCGUGGUUAGCAUGUCAGGUGCCCGUACCGUAAACCGACACAGGUGGGAUAGAUGAGUAUUCUAAGGCGCGCAGGUUAAAUCUCUCUAAGGAACUCGGCAAAUUAACCCCGUAUCUUCGGUAUAAGGGGUGCCCCGCAAGGGGCCGCAGUUAAUUGCGUCAACCGACUGUUUAGCAAAAACACAGCACUCUGCUAAGUCGCAAGACGACGUAUAGGGUGUGACACGUGACCAAUGCGGAAAGGUGAAAGUCUUGGGUGCAAGCUCAGGAUCUAAGCCCCCGUGAAUGUCGGCCGUAACUAUAACGGUCCUAAGGUAGCGAAAUUCCUUGUCGGGUAAGUUCCGACCCGCACGAAUCGUGUAACGAGUUGACGACUGUCUCGGAGAGAGGCCUGGUGAAAUUGUAGUGGCGGUGAAGAUGCCGCCUACCCCCCGCGGAAAGACGGAAAGACCCCGUGAACCUUUACUAUAGCUUGGCACUGAACAUUGACCCUACAUGUGUAGGAUAGGUGGGAGGCUUUGAAGCGGGAACGCCAGUUCUCGUGGAGCCGUCCUUGAAAUACCACC
rnacentral:rRNA from 1 species